CGAACGGGUGAGUAACACGUGGGUAAUCUGCCCAUCAGAGGGGGAUAACAUCCGGAAACGGAUGCUAAAACCGCAUAGGUCUUCGAACCGCAUGGUUUGAAGAGGAAAAGAGGCGCAAGCUUCUGCUGAUGGAUGGACCCGCGGUGCAUUAGCUAGUUGGUGAGGUAACGGCUCACCAAGGCCGUGAUGCAUAGCCGACCUGAGAGGGUGAUCGGCCACAUUGGGACUGAGACACGGCCCAAACUCCUACGGGAGGCAGCAGUAGGGAAUCUUCCGCAAUGGACGCAAGUCUGACGGAGCAACGCCGCGUGAGUGAAGAAGGUUUUCGGAUCGUAAAACUCUGUUGUUAGAGAAGAACAAGUGCUAGAG
rnacentral:rRNA from 1 species